rnacentral:rRNA from 1 species
GACGAACGCUGGCGGCGUGCCUAAUACAUGCAAGUUGAGCGCUGAAGGUUGGUACUUGUACCAACUGGAUGAGCAGCGAACGGGUGAGUAACGCGUGGGGAAUCUGCCUUUGAUCGGGGGACAACAUUUGGAAACGAAUGCUAAUACCGCAUAAAAACUUUAAACACAAGUUUUAAGUUUGAAAGAUACAAUUGCAUCACUCAAAGAUGAUCCCGCGUUGUAUUAGCUAGUUGGUGAGGUAAAGGCUCACCAAGGCGAUGAUACAUAGCCGACCUGAGAGGGUGACCGGCCACAUUGGGACUGAGAAACGGCCCAAACUCCUACGGGAGGCAGCAGUAGGGAAUCUUCGGCAAUGGACGAAAGUCUGACCGAGCAACGCCGCGUGAGUGAAGAAGGUUGUCGGAUCGUAAAACUCUGUUGGUAGAGAAGAAAGUUGGUGAGAGUGGAAAGCUCAUCAAGUGACGGUAACUACACAGAAAGGGACGGCUAACUACGUG